rnacentral:rRNA from 1 species
UACGUAGGGCGCAAGCGUUAUCCGGAAUUACUGGGUGUAAAGAGCUCGUAGGUGGUUUGUCGCGUUGUUCGUGAAAACUCACAGCUUAACUGUGGGCGUGCGGGCGAUACGGGCAGACUGGAGUACUGCAGGGGAGACUGGAAUUCCUGGUGUAGCGGUGGAAUGCGCAGAUAUCAGGAGGAACACCGGUGGCGAAGGCGGGUCUCUGGGCAGUAACUGACGCUGAGGAGCGAAAGCGUGGGGAGCGAACAGG